rnacentral:rRNA from 1 species
UACGUAGGGGGCGAGCGUUGUCCGGAUUUAUUGGGCGUAAAGAGCGUGUAGGCGGCCAGGUAGGUCUGCUGUGAAAACUCGAGGCUCAACCUCGAGACGUCGGCGGAAACCAUCUGGCUAGAGUCCGGAAGAGGAGAGUGGAAUUCCUGGUGUAGCGGUGAAAUGCGCAGAUAUCAGGAAGAACACCCGUGGCGAAGGCGGCUCUCUGGGACGGUACUGACGCUGAGACGCGAAAGCUAGGGUAGCAAACGGG